GGCCCUGUAAGUGUGUGUGUGUGUGUGUGUGUGUGUGUGUGUUGUGUGUGUGUGUUUGCGUGUGUGUAAUUGCGGUGGACUGGAUUCUUGUUGAACAAAUAUUCACUCAAUAUUCACUCUCUCUUCCUCCUUAGGAUGGCAUAUACUUAUAUUUACCUGCCUCACUCAUUUUGGGCAUGGCCAUGUAACCGGGUGCACAGAAGCGGGAGUGUACUGAGGCUUUGAAUGUUUGUUUAGCCUCUGGAGCUCCUGCCUACUUCAUGAUGUAAGUACGUCCAGGGUAGCCAUAGUUCCAGGAUGAAGAGACAUGGGGAAAGCAGACCUGACCCAAGCCCAAAUGAGUCCAGCCAACUCACAGACCCAUUACUGAAAAGAAAUAAAUGCCUGUUGUAAGCCACUGAGAUUUUGGGAUUAUUUGUUACACAGCCUUAUCAUGGAAAAGCUGACUAACAAGUGUUCAUGGUAGUCUUUACAGGGAACUAGUCCAAUACUCAGGCCUUUUCACAGAGGGCUUCAGGAUGGAGGCACCUGCUCUGUUGCAUGUCAUUAAGGAAUCAGGUUUUAGUAAAUAGUUCCUCCCCCUUUUAGACUCCGUUCCCUGACCUCUUCCUCAAGUGCAUAUCUCCCCCCCUCUUUAGGACAAUUAACCACAUUCACAAAAUUCCACCUCCUCCUCCUCUACAGGCCACUUCUGCAGGCUCUCAGAACUGUCUGUCUUUGACAAGGGCUAUCCUUGUUGUGGGAGGCCCUCAGCUUUCCGAGGAGGUUGGAAAGAAUGGAGCUCAGAGAAAUGGAGGGGCCCCCGCAAGCUGCAGCAGCAGGAGGCAAAGGAACCAGCAGCAGGGCCCUCUGGAAAGAUCGGAGGAGGCAUGUAGCUGAGUGCUCACACAACGUGAGGAUGUCGCAGCUCCAAACCAGGGUGUUCUCUGUGAUGUCAGCCUGCCCAGCAGUGGCUGCUGCUUUGGACCAGCCCCCAGGAAGCCUGGCUGGAGCUGAAAGUCGGUCCCAUUUGCAGUGGUGACCACUUGACCUAAAGAGAUCGGUGGUUGUGGAAGAUCACUCUGGAGGCAACGGAGAAGAAGGCAACAAGAUACAUUUGCCAUUAGUUUUUGGAGGUAGAACCUCAAAGAUUUUCGCCAGAGACUCACUGGC
rnacentral:lncRNA from 1 species